rnacentral:lncRNA from 1 species
UGGGUAAAUGAUCGUUACAUAAUCCGUUGUCAUCGUAUGGAUUAGCAAAACUCACUAUUCUGUAGCCAAAUAAACGAUCAUUACAAUUUUCUUUUGGAUAAAAAAGGCCAGCUCAUUAACCCAUUUACUCAUUAGAAGGAGCAGAUUCGAAUUCCAUACGAAUGAGAUGUGGCGGCGAUAUUUGAUGGAACUUGAUAACUUAUGUUUGGGAUUAAACCACAAACAUUUCUCAAUGAUAAAACAAUGUUCCUCGUCUGUUUAGCUGCGAUUCAACGACACUAAAUGGGAUCAACAGAAGUUGGUAAGACAAACGCCUUUAACUCCGAAGAAAGACGGUGACAAAAGAGUAAACGAAUCAGAUAAUAAAAAGCUAGCCAAACAAAAAAAUUACAACGUUUGUAUUUCAAACAGCUCAAGCCACAUUGGGUAAAACAUUUUCAUUUUACAGAACAUAUUAAUCAAUCAAGAAAUCAAGAACUUAUAUUAUAUAUAUUAUAGAAGUGUAAAAUUCUUAACUUCUCUUGCUUUAGUUCAAGGAAUAGUUCACCUGAACUCAGCAAGAAUACAAAACCAAAUGCUCAGCUCUUAACAAAGAAGAGGGUGUGGUUUUACUACUACUCAAAACAAAGUAAACGACCCUAUCUAACGGUAUAACAACUACCUUAGCCAAUUAAAGCUAUACCUCAAUUUUACACAUUACGAUACUAUAUAUUGAAACCAAGUAUUCUUGAGAUAGACCGUUGAUCUUUGUUUCACUGCCUCAACGAUUGCUUUUGGUUAACUGCCACCACAUAAACAGUUUACUCUCUUUGUUUUUGGUGUUCAUAUAUUAACGGUCUGUAGGUUUUACGGAUUAAAAACGAAGGUCGCGUAUAUAAAACUGUUCUUGGUCU